UACAGAGGUCCCGAGCGUUGUUCGGAUUCACUGGGCGUAAAGGGUGCGUAGGUGGUGGGGUAAGUCUGAUGUGAAAUCUCCAGGCUCAACCUGGAAAAGGCAUUGGAAACUACUCUGCUAGAGGGUUGGAGGGGGGACUGGAAUACUUGGUGUAGCAGUGAAAUGCGUAGAUAUCAAGUGGAACACCAGUGGCGAAGGCGAGUCCCUGGACAACACCUGACACUGAGGCACGAAAGCCAGGGGAGCAAACAGG
rnacentral:rRNA from 1 species